GGAUCCUCUCCAUUUUCCUUUGAAAUGGAGAGGGUCCAGUACACGGACAGGAUCAUCUUUGCAUUAUAUCAAGGGCCAAAAACGUGCCACGUCAUAACUUAACCCACUAAACCCAAACCACACUUAACUACACUUAAACUAGAGGCUGUUUAACUCAACCGGACAAACCACAAUUUCUCUCUCACCAAACCCAUCUGAACAUUUCAAAUUCGAACUCUCUUUCUCACUCUCUUCUCCAAGGUUCUCUCUCGCCCCGUCGUCACAGUGCCACCAAUACCACCUGCGCCCCGACUUUCUCUCUCGCCCCGUCGUCACGGUGCCCCGACUUUCUCAUUCUCAUUCAUCCAGUCAUUCAUUCUGUCAUAUUUAGUCUUUUCUGAGUCAUCGUUUUCUCUCUUCUCUGAGAAUUAGGGUUUUCGAUUACUCGAACCUCGAACACACACAAAAAAUUCAUCUUCGAUUAUCUUCGGUUAAUAUUUAUUUGGUAAAUUAUAUCUCUGUGUUUGUGAAAGAACCAUGUACUCCUCAAGAGGGAGCAAUGCGUUUGGGCAGCAAUCGUAUGCGGCUCAAUCGGCUGCGUAUGGCGCUAGUAAAAUGAGUUGAAGCAGCUAGCAGCCAUCUAUUAAAAGUCUAAAGAGAAGGGUACAGAGCAGUGGUGACAUAACCAAGCUCAUCCUUGCACCCCCUCCUUCGUGGUAGAUGGAAUAUGGAAUUUAAGAAACAGAGCUGUUUUCCAAGGCUAGAAAGUUAACAUCCGUGAAGCCUGCUUGCGGAUUCAAAGCAGAAUCAUAGAGUUUCGUACUGUAAUCCAGGCAGCCAACAAAGCUCAUUGCGCAUCUUCAUCCCAGGUUUGGAAGCCACCCUUGACUAGGUUCAUCAAGCUAAAUGUGGAUGCUGCAACUGGACCAUCAAGAACUGCACUAGCAGUAGUAGCAAGGAACUCCCUCGGCGAGGUGAUCAAAGUUUGGGCUAAACCUCACCAUAGCUGCACCCCCAUCCAAGCAGAAGCAAGUGCAAGGCAGUCAACCUAGCCUCUAAUGAAGUGUGGAAACAAGUAAUCAUAGAGAGCGAUUCCAAGAUGUGUAUGGAUUCACUGUCUGACAAUCCUUUUGUGCCUAACUGGGCCAUCAGCAAUGAUAUUGUUAAUAUCCUAAACUCUGUAUCAGUUUUUCUUAGUUACUCUUUUGUUUGGGUCUGUAGGUCUUGUAAUUUUGCAGCACAUAAUGCUGCAAAGCUAGCUUUGAAUUCUGCAUUACCUUUGUGUUUUAACGAGGAGAAUCUACCUGAGGUUAUCCUCUUUGCUUGUGUGGUAGACUCCUAUGUUGUAGUAUCUUCUUUUUCGUAUGAAUGACAUUGAAGUUUAGCAAAAAAAAAAAAAAAAAGAAGUCAAGUGCAAGAUAUAUGCAAAGCUUCAUGUACCAAAUUUUACACACUUGUUAUCAAGAAAAGGUUUUGAAGUAUUCCAUGACCGAUUGAAGACAAUGAAUUUUGAAGCUAGCAAGGCUAAUUUUUCAGUUUUAGUAAAGAUUUAGAUUUGAUAUAUUCUUAGCUUGUAGGACAACUUUGACAAGUGUGUGCAUAAUUUGUAGUAGCA